rnacentral:misc_RNA from 1 species
UUGAAAUAAACCUGAUGGGUUGUUGCUGGUUCUCUAGGGAGCAUGUGCACACCUUGUCAUUUUUAUAUCUCCACCUGUGCAUCUUUUGUAGACCCUGGAUAUUAAUAAUUUAUUUCCAUGGGUCUAUGUUGCUUCUUUGUAAAAUUUACACCCCAAUGUAUGUCAAGUAGAAUGUUUGUGCCUGUGAAAUAUGUA